rnacentral:misc_RNA from 1 species
CCGCGGGGGCUCAGCUGGGCGGUGGUCGGGUCCUGAGGCCGGAGGGCGGGAGCAGGGGAGGGGAAAAGCAAAAGCGGGGAAAGAAGCCGGGGAGCGGUGGACCAGACGUCCAGACCUCCUGAAAGGCUGGCGGGGAGGCACAGGCGGGAUCUUCCGGAGGUGAGAAUUUUUUUUUAUUAUAGCAGAAUGGGGAGGAAUUGAGGGGAAAAUGGAGAUAGAACCUGAAAGAGCCCCAAACGCCAGAACCUGUAGCUCCCCAAGAAUAAGAUCUUCCAGAAGAACUAGACCCAAAACUAGCCGUUGGGGAACACCGAAAUCCUUGGAGGAGCAACAUCCGCAUGACCCUCUGUGUUCCUUUAGGCAAAAGGACUUGCUUCCAUUGUUUGUUCAAUUGUUUGUGUUUGUUAAAUAAAUAAAACGAUUUUCAUGUAUCUUUGAAAUUA